CCAAUCUUAGAGAUAAGACGUUCCCUUCGGGGACAGAAUGACAGGUGGUGCAUGGUUGUCGUCAGCUCGUGUCGUGAGAUGUUGGGUUAAGUCCCGCAACGAGCGCAACCCUUAUUAUCAGUUGCCAGCAUUCAGUUGGGCACUCUGGUGAGACUGCCGGUGACAAACCGGAGGAAGGUGGGGAUGACGUCAAAUCAUCAUGCCCCUUAUGACCUGGGCUACACACGUGCUACAAUGGACGGUACAACGAGUCGCGAAGUCGUGAGGCUAAGCUAAUCUCUUAAAGCCGUUCUCAGUUCGGAUUGUAGGCUGCAACUCGCCUACAUGAAGUUGGAAUCGCUAGUAAUCGCGGAUCAGCAUGCCGCGGUGAAUACGUUCCCGGGCCUUGUACACACCGCCCGUCACACCAUGAGAGUUUGUAACACCCAAAGCCGGUGAGAUAACCUUCGGGGGUCAGCCGUCUAAGGUGGGACAGAUGAUUAGGGUGAAGUCGUAACAAGGUAAGCGUACGUGU
rnacentral:rRNA from 1 species